CACUGAUUUAAGUGGUGACACUCCAGAUUAUCACCAGUGUGAAAACAGAAGCAAUUGUUAAGCAUCCAGUCAGUGAAGCGAUUCUCACAAAAAAUAAGGAUCACCCAGACCGGGAACUCAACUUGAGCCAAAUGCCUUUAACCAGGGAAGAGUGGGAGGAGCAGCGCAAAGAGGCUUCCAGUCAUGAGAAAACCCUGCUUACCACCUAGAUGUCUGCUGGAACUAACAAGGACUUGUACCAAGGGAAAGGAUUGGACCCAGACUUGGAAGGAGUUUAGUCUGUGAAAGAAGCUUAUUGGAACAUCUCUGAGGCAUAUACAAAACAAGAAUUAUGCACUUACACCCUGAAGAAAAUGACCUGGUACUGGUGCAGCAUGAAGGAGUGGAGAGCACAGUCAAUCAAAAGACAGACAAACUUGACAUUUACAGAGCAUACCAUAUGUUGUUGAACUGUCAUGCGUUGUUGUAUAUUUGAUGAAGUUGGGUCCUUUUAUAUAUCAAUUCCACAUUGCAAAUGUUGCU